ensembl:snoRNA
UGGCGAUGAUGACAAACUUUGAGUAGUUGAAUUUCGGUGAUUGUUUUAUACGCUAUUCUGAGCUAACU